rnacentral:lncRNA from 1 species
GGGCCCCCACUCAGCAUCCAGUUCCUGCGAGCCCAGUAUGAAGGCUUGAAGAGGCAGCAGAGGACCCAGGCCCACCUCCUGGUGCUUCCAAAAGGUAGGCCCUGCCGUAUCCUUGAGAACCAUCUCAGAGGACCCUCUUUUGGGAUGCAGCUUCCUCAUCCCAAAGCUUUGGAAAACCCUGAGCUUCCCCACUAGGGCUGACCUGUCUGCCUUUCAUCAUUACAUAGAACCAGAAGUGUGCUGAUGACUUCAUGUCUUGGAGUUUCUCUAAUUUCAGCAUUAUUCUUGAGAUGGACUGGAAGUCAUAUGAAGACCAGAGAGAAU